UCCAUCAUAUUGGAAACUGAAGUCCUCUACACCCAGAACAGGUACGGCACAGGCAGCAGCUAAUGUGCCUCAGCUAGGUCAACCUUGACCUGGAGGAGCUACUGGAGAGGCAAAUGAAUCUCUGCCUCCAGAUCUGCUCAAGCCUUGGAGCCU
rnacentral:sRNA from 1 species